GGGGGCAUAAGCUCAAUGGCAAACUGUCCGCCUCCAAAGCGGAACUUCUAGGUUCGAGUCCUAGUGCCCCCG
rnacentral:tRNA from 1 species